AUUAAUAAACUUAAAAAAAACCCCAAAGCGAGAGAGAGUCAUCUGCUCCACUGAGUGAGCCACUCAGGCACCCCCUGCGCGCCUCCUUCAAUCAGAGCCCCAGAUGCGGCAGGCAGCCUAUCCCCAUUUCUCUGGGACUUCCCCACUUUCAGCACCGGAAGUCCCCUCUCUGAGUGGGUGGAUUUAAGCUUAGGAACCCCCCGGGCUUAUACCAAUGGGCUAACAAGGCACAGAGAAAUAAAAAGCCAUAGGAUGCUCACACCCGAGUUUGGGUAAACAUGAUUGGCACCCUGAGAAUAAGGGGGUGCUGACCCCACAGAUAGAGAGGGACGAGCAAAGGCCCAGGAUAGGAAUGGGUGCAAAGGCUCCCAAUGCAAAGGUGUAGGAGGUAAGCAAGGUUAGGCACGCAGGGCAAAAGUGCCCCCAACUUAGUCCUACAGCAGAGAAGCUGCUUUCACAGGGGAAUAGGCCCAAGUUAGGAAAACAAGUUGGACUGUAGACCCCUGGGCUGCAGUCUUGUUAACCCUGGGGUUAUUUUGGCUGUCUUCUCCUCUAGGUUAGCUAAGACAGACAGACACGCGCCUCCUGUCUGACCCUAACAACCACCUGCCCGUCUGCUGGGUACCUGGAUUGUUUUAUAAUGACCCAAACCUCAAACACUGUCUGUCUUCAACAACCCCCCUUUCCCUCAUGCCCAGAAGUUGAUAUUCUCUUCGUGCACGCCCACCACGUUUGUAAGACUUCUGAUCUUAAUGUAUACAGGGCAAGGACCCUUAUUUGGGGCUCUUGUCUUUUCCCCGACAUGAGCCAUCUCUCCUAUUUUUUAAUCCUGAGUCUACUCUCUAGCUAAGACAAGAGAGAACUUCAGACCCGUAGUCUACGACAUCUGAGGAAAUGCCUUGGUCCCUGGCAAACCGAGACAGGAGGUCACCCCUCAGAGCAUGGUACAUUUUAGCCGUAACAUUGGCUAAUGACAGAGACAAGCAACAGGAAAUCAACCAUAAGAGUCGUGCCUGGCCCGGUAACCUGCCCAGUAAGUAUUGAAGACUUGUCCUCCGUUGCAAGGAUACUGAGUAACAAAUCCUUAGAGAGAGGGUUGCAGAAUCCAGCAAGGGGCAGGUUCUGGCACCACUUUUGGCUUUCUUAAUUACUACUGAGACAGAUACAGUUUGGUGGCAUUGAGUAUACUUAUGAUACUUAUGGUGUUGGGCAGCCACCACCUGUGUCUAAUUCCAAAAUAUUUUUAUCACCCCAAAAGGAAAAACCUGUACUCAUUAAGUAGUUACUGCCCACUGCCUACCUCCCAGAGUCUGGUAACCACCAACCUGCUCUCUCUCUCCAGGGUCUGUCUCCAUGGAUGAGCCUAUUCUGGAUAUAAGUGGAAUCAGGCAAUAUGUGACCUUUUGUGCCUGGCUUCUUCCACUUAGCAUGUUUUCAAGGUUCAUCCACAUGGUAGCAUGUGUCAGCGCUGCGUUCUUCUUUGGGGGUCGGAGAGUCACAGCAUGGUCAUGACAUUGAUUGAAGGUUGGAGGAUGAAACAGGGACUGAUUUCUCAGCACCCUGAGAGGGUGUUUCGCAGGUGAAAGAACGCACGACCUUGACCUAUCUGAUUUUGACGCUGUGCUGGAUGUAAUCAGAAGGCUUCGAGGAAUAGUUUCCUGAGCUUGAUGUUCACGGGUGAAAAAUUGGAAGGGCUUUAACCGCGGGUAAAAGUGUCUUCUCACAUCAACCACACAGCAUCAGAAAUUCUGUGAACCAGACGGCUAUUUCACCAAGUGGGUUGUGUACAAAUUAGAAGCAGAUUACAAAAGGGGCUGAGCUCUGCUGAGCGCGGGAGCCAAAAACAUCAUUCUGGGGGCUCCUGGGAGGUUUCGUCGGUUAAGCGUCCGACUUCAG